rnacentral:rRNA from 1 species
AAAGGGAGCAAUCCCCGGUAGCGUGGCAGACGGGUGAGUAACACGUGGGUAACCUACCCGGAGGUGGGGGAUAACCCUUCGAAAGGAGGGCUAAUACCGCAUGACAUCGCGAGGACCUCGGUCCUUACGAUCAAAGCUGGCCUCUGUUUACAAGCUAGCGCCACCGGAUGGGCCCGCGCCCCAUUAGCUAGUUGGUGAGGUAACGGCUCACCAAGGCGACGAUGGGUAGCCGGCCUGAGAGGGCGAUCGGCCACACUGGAACUGCGACACGGUCCAGACUCCUACGGGAGGCAGCAGUGAGGAAUAUUGCGCAAUGGGCGAAAGCCUGACGCAGCGACGCCGCGUGGAGGAUGAAGGUCUUCGGAUUGUAAACUCCUGUCGAGUGGGACGAAUGCCGUGAGGGUGAACAAUCCUCGCGGUUGACGGUACCGCUGGAGGAAGCCCCGGCUAACUCCGUGCCAGCAGCCGCGGUAAUACGGAGGGGGCUAGCGUUGUUCGGAAUCAUUGGGCGUAAAGGGCGCGUAGGCGGCCGAUCAAGUCGGAGGUGAAAUCCCUCGGCUCAACUGAGGAAUUGCCUUCGAUACUGUUCGGCUUGAGUCCUGGAGAGGGUAGCGGAAUUCCCGGUGUAGCGGUGAAAUGCGUAGAGACCGGGAAGAACACCAGUGGCGAAGGCGGCUACCUGGACAGGUACUGACGCUGAAGCGCGAAAGCUAGGGGAGCAAACAGGAUUAGAUACCCUGGUAGUCCUAGCUGUAAACGAUGGGCACUUGGUGUUGCGGGUAUCGACCCCUGCAGUGCCGAAGCUAACGCAUUAAGUGCCCCGCCUGGGGAGUACGGUCGCAAGGCUGAAACUC